CAGUAGCCGCGGGAAUACGAAGGGUGCAAGCGUUACUCGGAAUUACUGGGCGUAAAGCGUGCGUAGGUGGUGGUUUAAGUCCGUUGUGAAAGCCCUGGGCUCAACCUGGGAAUUGCAGUGGAUACUGGGUCACUAGAGUGUGGUAGAGGAUAGUGGAAUUUCCGGUGUAGCAGUGAAAUGCGUAGAGAUCGGAAGGAACAUCUGUGGCGAAGGCGACUAUCUGGGCCAACACUGACACUGAGGCACGAAAGCGUGGGGAGCAAGCAGGAUUAGAUACCCGAGUAGUCCCUGUCUCUUAUAA
rnacentral:rRNA from 1 species